rnacentral:lncRNA from 1 species
AGGCGAAUGUCAUCUUUUGGUUUUGAUAGGAGGUUCGGGAGGACUCGCUGGCCAUUCGAUGGCAGCCCAUUUGUUGUUCUACCCCGAGUGGUAGACAAAGGAUCCUAUAUUGAUUUUACCAGGGUGGUAAAUCAAUGGUCACUAUUGGUCCUGGUCCUAUUUGUCCUAUGGUCACUACGGUGUAAGGAGGUAUGGUAGGACUCG